rnacentral:rRNA from 1 species
GGGGGGCCGAGUACCAACUCUGAUUUACGACGUUUCUUCUGAGUGGUACAAGCAAAUAAUCAAAACUUUUAACAACGGAUCUCUUGGUUCUGGCAUCGAUGAAGAACGCAGCGAAAUGCGAUAAGUAAUGUGAAUUGCAGAAUUCAGUGAAUCAUCGAAUCUUUGAACGCACAUUGCGCCCGCCAGCAUUCUGGCGGGCAUGCCUGUUCGAGCGUCAUUUCAACCCUCAAGCUCUGCUUGGUGUUGGGGCCCUACAGCUGAUGUAGGCCCUCAAAGGUAGUGGCGGACCCUCCCGGAGCCUCCUUUGCGUAGUAACUUUACGUCUCGCACUGGGAUCCGGAGGGACUCUUGCCGUAAAACCCCCCAAUUUUCCAAAGGUUGACCUCGGAUCAGGUAGGAAUACCCGCUGAACUUAAGCAUACAAAAAGAGAGAGAGAGAAAAAA